rnacentral:rRNA from 1 species
GCCUGCCCAAUGAUUAAUUGAAUGGCCGCGGUAUAUUGACUGUGCAAAGGUAGCAUAAUCAUUAGUUUUUUAAUUGAAAGCUUGUAUGAAUGGUUUGAUGAAAAAUUAUCUGUCUUUAAUUAAGUUAAUUAAAAUUUUAUUUUUAAGUGAAAAAGCUUAAAUUUUUAUAAAAGACGAGAAGACCCUAUAGAGUUUUAUUAGAAAAACAAUAUUUAGUAUUAGGAAUUUAAGUUUUAAUUUGUUUUUAUUAAUUUUAUUGGGGUGAUCAGAAAAUUAGUAUAACUUUUUUAUAUUUUUAUAUUAGUAUAUAGGUAUAUGAUCCUUAAGUAGAGAUUAAAAGAUUAAAUUACCUUAGGGAUAACAGCGUAAUUUUUUUUAGAGUUCUUAUUAAAAAAAAGGAUUGCGACCUCGAUGUUGGAUUAAAAUUAAUUAUUGGUGCAGAAGCUAAUAAAGUAGGUCUGUUCGACCUUUGG